rnacentral:rRNA from 1 species
UUUAUUAAGUCUGACCUGCCCACUGAAAUUAAUUUUAAAGGGCCGCGGUAUUUUGACCGUGCAAAGGUAGCAUAAUAAUUAGUCUUUUAAUUGAAGGCUAGAAUGACUGGUUGGACGAGGUAUUGACUGUCUCUGUGCAAAUGAAAUUAGAAUUUAACUUUUGAGUGAAAAGGCUUAAAUGUUUUUAGAGGACGAGAAGACCCCAUAGAGCUUUAUAAUGGGUUUUUUAUAAUUUGUUUAGUGUUUUUUUUAUUAUAUUAAGUUAAUUAUUUUGUUGGGGAGACAGGAAGAUUAAAUAAACUCUUCUUAAAAUUUAAACAUAUAUGAGUGAAUUUUUGAUCCAUUUUUAGUGAUUAUAGGUCUAAGUUACCUUGGGGAUAACAGCGUAAUCUUUUUUAAGAGUUCUUAUCGACAAAAAGGGUUGCGACCUCGAUGUUGGAUUAAGGGUAAUUUUGGGAGCAGAUGCUCAAAAUUAGGUCGUACCUAC